UCGACGCCGAGGAUCAAGGCUCGGGCGCCUCAGGGCGCUCGGCCUUGUCCCCGGCGGCACAACGAACCCCGGCGCGGAAUGCGCCAAGGAACUUGAACAAGAGUGCGAUGCUCCCGCCGCCCCAUACACGGUGCGCGCGCGGGACGCCAUGCAAUCUCAUAUUAGUCAUAACGACUCUCGGCAACGGAUAUCUCGGCUCUCGCAUCGAUGAAGAACGUAGCGAACUGCGAUACUUGGUGUGAAUUGCAGAAUCCCGUGAACCAUCGAGUCUUUGAACGCAAGUUGCGCCCGAAACCUUCGGGUCGAGGGCACGUUUGCCUGGGUGUCACACAUGGCGUUGCCCCUAAUCCCCUCCGCCCUCUCAACGGGGCGAGCGGGACUUGGGCGCGUACGAUGGCCUCCCGCGACGACCACGUCCCGGUUGGCCCAAAAUCGAGCGUCGGAGCGAUCAGCACCACGACAUUCGGUGGUUGAUUAGACCCCAAUGAUCAAUGUCGCGCGUGCCGCUCAUCGCACGCUCCGCGAAUCUGCUCCUUACCAACGCGACCCCAGGUCAAGCGGGGCUACCCGCUGAGUUUAAGCAUAUCAAUAAGCGGAGGAAAAGAAACUAACAAGGAUUCCCCUAGUAACGGCGAGCGAACCGGGAAGAGCCCAGCAUGAGAAUCG
rnacentral:rRNA from 1 species